GAUGAACGCUGGCGGCGUGCCUAAUACAUGCAAGUCGAGCGAACGGACGAGAAGCUUGCUUCUCUGAUGUUAGCGGCGGACGGGUGAGUAACACGUGGAUAACCUACCUAUAAGACUGGGAUAACUUCGGGAAACCGGAGCUAAUACCGGAUAAUAUUUUGAACCGCAUGGUUCAAAAGUGAAAGAAGGUCUUGCUGUCACUUAUAGAUGGAUCCGCGCUGCAUUAGCUAGUUGGUAAGGUAACGGCUUACCAAGGCAACGAUGCAUAGCCGACCUGAGAGGGUGAUCGGCCACACUGGAACUGAGACACGGUCCAGACUCCUACGGGAGGCAGCAGUAGGGAAUCUUCCGCAAUGGGCGAAAGCCUGACGGAGCAACGCCGCGUGAGUGAUGAAGGUCUUCGGAUCGUAAAACUCUGUUAUUAGGGAAGAACAUAUGUGUAAGUAACUGUGCACAUCUUGACGGUACCUAAUCAGAAAGCCACGGCUAACUACGUG
rnacentral:rRNA from 1 species